UACGUAGGGCGCGAGCGUUGUCCGGAAUUACUGGGCGUAAAGAGCUCGUAGGUGGUUUGUCGCGUUGUCCGUGAAAACUCACAACUCAAUUGUGGGCGUGCGGGCGAUACGGGCAGACUGGAGUACUGCAGGGGAGACUGGAAUUCCUGGUGUAGCGGUGGAAUGCGCAGAUAUCAGGAGGAACACCGGUGGCGAAGGCGGGUCUCUGGGCAGUAACUGACGCUGAGGAGCGAAAGCGUGGGGAGCGAACAGG
rnacentral:rRNA from 1 species